AAAAAAAAAAGAAAUGGAAAAGCAGGAUGAGAUGAGAUUAUCUCGUAGUAUGACCCUCGUAUAAGUGCGUGUGUGAGUUGUGGACUAGUGUGUUACUGUGUGCGACCUUUGAUGACUAGUAAGAGAAGCCAAGUUGCAAUAUGAGAUUUUUUUAGGUUUGGCUUUUACCCUUUUUAAAUUUUUCUGCAGAUUUUGUCCUCUGAAUCUGACGGUGAUUUGGUGGGAGUGGCAUCUGCGGAUGGGGUGAACAAGGCCGUUU
rnacentral:lncRNA from 1 species